CCCUCUGCUUCUAAUCCAGAUGAACCAAGUUGGUGGAAGGGACCACUGCAGCUGCUGUGCUGACCACUGGAGCUGUGUUGCCAAGUACAUUAGAGGUAACAUGUAGCAUCCUAAAAGCACAGAUGUGUUCUAACAGCAGCCAUGAAUAAAUGACUAAUUCAGGUUUCUUCGUCUUUGUCUUUUCAUAAAUCCCUCAGCAUGUCCCACAGGAACUGUGAAGAAAAAAAGUACCAAAUCAGCCAUGACUAGGGCAGCCUCUAAUGCUUGUGGGGCUGCUACACACUCCUGUGCCGUAGGUGGCGACGUGCACCCGGUGGUUGUUUGUGAUCCGCCAGUAAAUCCAGAGAAGAAGAAGAGCCAGGUAUUUCCUGCAUGAGAGAAGGUGUGCCAGCGAGUCGUGGGACGUGGACGCCGCCACAGAAGGACUUCAGUCUGUCCAGGCGUCACUUCCAGAGACAGUCCUGGUUUCUGGAUCCCCCCUCCCUUCCACAAUGAAGUCUUCUUUGUGGAGGGGAGGGGCCACCCGAUUGUUGUGAUGUGUGUUGCCAGUGUAAACGCUCAAUAAAAUUAUUUUAAAAUCCAUAACCCCCUGCUUCCAUCUCUCCGGGAGGGGACACGGCCCCCUCCUCUCCCUCUGCAGCGGGAGUUUUCAAAUACCUACAAUCCUACCUGGAAUCCAAACCACUGCUGUGUGUGGGCAAGGAUUCAGUGACAAAUGGUUGAGUCUGACCACUGCAGUUGCUGCGUAUGCCACUAGGGGAGCUCUGACGUCAUCAAUUUCUUGCCAAAAAGGCACCUGUGGCGGCGUCUGCCAACCUCUCUUCACACUGGGACACGGAAAGCUUAAAACAUUUGAGCAAAAUUCCAGCCGCUCGUGGCUCUGUGUUCGAUAACCCCCUGCUUUGAUCUCUCUUGAGCUUCGGGAGGGGACAAGGCCCCCUCCCUCACCCACUGCCAUGGGAUCGAUAGUCCAGGAACCGGCCGGGUGGUAUUCGAACCAGCGGUUCCUCCACUGGCUGACCCUACAGUCACAAGACGAAGCCACCACGCCACCGAGCCCCCUUCGCACUAGAACCUGCUCUCUGGGCGCUUUUAUUUCUUCACUUUGGGGCACUGGACUUUAAAAUUCACUGAGCUCUCAUAAGGGAAUCAAACCCAUGUCGUCAGAAGGGUCAAUUAGCCUACUAACACACUGCACUAUGUGUUCACAGACAUUUCUUCCUUGUUUCUUAGAGGCUUUCAGUCUUCUUCUUCUUCUCGGUGUUGAAUUUCAAAAGUCACAAUGUCAAAGGUUUGAACCCACAACCUCUGAACUU
rnacentral:lncRNA from 15 species